rnacentral:rRNA from 1 species
GCGCGUAAAUUGCCCGAAUCCUGACACAGGGAGGUAGUGACAAGAAAUAACAAUACAGGGCCACUUUGGUCUUGUAAUUGGAAUGAGUACAAUUUACAUCUCUUCACGAGGAUCAAUUGGAGGGCAAGUCUGGUGCCAGCAGCCGCGGUAAUUCCAGCUCCAAUAGCGUAUAUUAAAGUUGUUGCAGUUAAAACGCUCGUAGUCGGAUUUCGGGGCCUGCCUGCCGGUCUGCCGAUGGGUAUGCACUGGCAGGCGCGUCCUUCCUUCCGGAGACUGUCCCUACUCUUAACUGAGCGGGGUCGGGAGACGGAUCGUUUACUUUGAAAAAAUCAGAGUGUUUCAAGCAGGCAGCUCGCUCUUGCAUGGAUUAGCAUGGGAUAAUGAAAUAGGACUCUGGUGCUAUUUUGUUGGUUUCGAACACCGGAGUAAUGAUUAACAGGGACAGUCAGGGGCACUCGUAUUCC